GGAGUUUGGACCGUUUCUCAGUUCCAAUGUGGCCGAUCACCCUCUCAGGUCGGCUACCGAUCGUCGCCUUGGUGGGCCGUUACCUCACCAACCAGCUAAUCGGACGCGAGCUCACCCCAAACCGGAUUCCUCCUUUUACCCCGAAACCAUGUGAUCUCGUGGUCUUAUGCGGUAUUAGCACCUGUUUCCAAGUGUUAUCCCCCUGUCUGGGACAGAUUGCUCACGCGUUACUCACCCGUCCGCCGCUAAAACAGAAAACCGAAGUCUUCUGUCUCCGCUCGACUUGCAUGUGUUAAGCACGCCGCCAGCGUUCGUC
rnacentral:rRNA from 1 species